AUUUUCGUCAAUGGGGGAAACCCUGAACGAGCAAUGCCGCGUGAGUGAAGAAGGUCUUCGGAUCGUAAAGCUCUGUUGUAAGCGAAGAACGGUCCGCAUAGGAAAUGAUGCGGGAGUGACGGUAGCUUACCAGAAAGCCACGGCUAACUACGUGCCAGCAGCCGCGGUAAUACGUAGGUGGCAAGCGUUAUCCGGAAUCAUUGGGCGUAAAGGGUGCGUAGGUGGCGGAUUAAGUCCGUAGUAAAAGGCAUUGGCUCAACCAAUGUAAGCUAUGGAAACUGGUCGGCUGGAGUGCAGAAGAGGGCGAUGGAAUUCCAUGUGUAGCGGUAAAAUGCGUAGAUAUAUGGAGGAACACCAGUGGCGAAGGCGGUCGCCUGGUCUGCAACUGACACUGAGGCACGAAAGCGUGGGGAGCAAAUA
rnacentral:rRNA from 1 species